CGGGUGAGUAACACGUGGGUAACCUGCCCGGAAGUGGGGAAUACCUCGGGGAAACUCGAGCUAAUGCCGCAUAAAAUCUCCGGGACGAAAGUCCUGAUGAUCAAAGCGGGGUCGCAAGAUCUCGCGCUACCGGAUGGGCCCGCGCCCGAUUAGCUAGUUGGUGAGGUAACGGCUCACCAAGGCUUCGAUCGGUAACCGGCCUGAGAGGGCGAUCGGUCACACCGGAACUGAGACACGGUCCGG
rnacentral:rRNA from 1 species